rnacentral:rRNA from 1 species
CCACGCCAAAACUAUCCACGUGAACCGUUAAACAAACAGAAAGGGUCGUCCUAUUUGAUGCGAUGUUUGGGAGAUACUUGUUAUUUUCUAGGCAUUUCAUUGAGUAGGUCGACUGUCGAAGGUCGGGCGUUCGCCUAUAGUGUAGCUUUUGUUGCGCUAUAAGCUUGAGCAAACGGCUGAUUUAUUCUUUUAAACCAUACCUAAACCUACUGAUUAUACUGUGAGGACGAAAGUCCUUGCUUUUACUAGAUAACAACUUUCAGCAGUGGAUGUCUAGGCUCGCACAUCGAUGAAGAACGCUGCGAACUGCGAUACGUAAUGCGAAUUGCAGAAUUCAGUGAGUCAUCGAAUUUUUGAACGCAUAUUGCACUUCCGGGUUAUGCCUGGAAGUAUGUCUGUAUCAGUGUCCGUACAUUAAACUUGCCUCUCUUUGUCGGUGUAGUCCGGCUUGGAGAAAGAGCAGAUAUGAAGUGUCUCGCGCCAUGCUGGUGAUUUACUGUCGUGGUAAAUGACGAGAGUGCACGAGUCCUUUUAAAUGGACUACGGUCUUUCUAUUGCGUUGUUACUGAGCGUGUAUUUUGAGCACGGCGAGUCUGUCAAUUGUUUGUGUAAGUUUGCACCAUUGGCGGGAGCAUAUGGAAGAAACCUCUUUUUCGCGGUACGUUAGGCUUCGGCAUGACAAUGUUGUGAGAGAGUGGUGACUUUCGCUCUUUAGCUUUGAUGGAUACAUUCGCAUGAGGGAUUGACAGGGUUUAGCUGUUAGUAGAGAUAUGCUAGUAUGUGGCAUGCACUUGUUGUAAGGUAGAUUGGUUAUACCGAUGUAUUUUGCAAGUGGAAAGAUUGAUUUGGGAAAUUCUGUGCUACAUGGCGUGCUCAUCAAGCUUUCGAGCUUGUGUGUGCGUUGGUAGUAUCUCAAUUGGACCUGAUAUCAGACAAGACUACCC